GUAGGUGGCAAGCGUUGUCCGGAAUUAUUGGGCGUAAAGCGCGCGCAGGCGGUCCUUUAAGUCUGAUGUGAAAGCCCACGGCUCAACCGUGGAGGGUCAUUGGAAACUGGGGGACUUGAGUACAGAAGAGGAAAGCGGAAUUCCAAGUGUAGCGGUGAAAUGCGUAGAGAUUUGGAGGAACACCAGUGGCGAAGGCGGCUUUCUGGUCUGUAACUGACGCUGAGGCGCGAAAGCGUGGGGAGCAAACAGGGAUUAGAUACCCUGGUAGUCCACGCCGUAAACGAUGAGUGCUAAGUGUUAGGGGGUUUCCCGCCCCUUAGUGCUUCAGCUAACGCAUUAAGCACUCCGCCUGGGGAGUACGGCCGCAAGGCUG
rnacentral:rRNA from 1 species